rnacentral:rRNA from 1 species
AUUGAACGCUGGCGGCAUGCUUUACACAUGCAAGUCGAACGGAAGCGCGGGCUUCGGCCUUGCGGCGAGUGGCGAACGGGUGAGUAAUGCAUCGGAACGUGCCCGGUAGUGGGGGAUAGCCCGGCGAAAGCGGGAUUAAUACCGCAUACGACCUGAGGGUGAAAGCGGGGGACCGAAAGGCCUCGCGCUAUUGGAGCGGCCGAUGUCGGAUUAGCUAGUUGGUGGGGAAAGGCCCACCAAGGGGACGAUCCGUAGCGGGUCUGUGAGGACGAUCAGUCACAGUGGAAAUUGGACGCGGUCCAAGAUCCUACGGGAGGCAGCAGUGGGGAGUAGUGGAGAAUGGGCGGAGGCCUGAUCCAGCCAUGGCGCGUGUGUGAAGCCGGUCUUCGGAUUGUAGAGAAAUUUAAGUUGGGAGGAAGGGCAGUAAGUUAAUACCUUGCUGUUUGGACGUUAGCAAAAGAAUAAGCACAGGCUAGCUUCGUG